UGGGGAAUCUUGCACAAUGGGGGAAACCCUGAUGCAGCGACGCCGCGUGAGCGAUGAAGCCCUUCGGGGUGUAAAGCUCUUUCGGCAGGGACGAUAAUGACGGUACCUGCAGAAGCAGCUGCGGCUAACUACGUGCCAGCAGCCGCGGUAAUACGUAGGCAGCGCGCGUUGUUCGGAGUUACUGGGCGGAAAGGGUGUGUAGGCGGUUGCGUAAGUUUGGUGGGAAAUCUCCCGGCUCAACUGGGAGGGUGGGCCGAAUACUGAGCGGCUAGAGUGCGGGAGAGGAGAGUGGAAUUCCUGGUGUAGCGGUGAAAUGCGUAGAUAUCAGGAGGAACACCGGUGGUGUAGACGGCUCUCUGGACCGUAACUGACGCUGAGACACGAAAGCGUGGGUAGCAAACAGG
rnacentral:rRNA from 2 species